rnacentral:rRNA from 1 species
GACGAACGCUGGCGGCGUGCUUAACACAUGCAAGUCGAACGAAGUGGCGAACGGGUGAGUAACGCGUAAUCAACCUGCCCUUCAGAGGGGGACAACAGUUGGAACCAAUGCCUAAUACCCCAUAUUGAAGGGGGGGUUUGCGUCUGAUUAGCUAGUUGGGGGGGUAACGGCCCACCAAGGCGAUGAUCAGUAGCCGGUCUGAGAGGAUGAACGGCCACAUUGGGACUGAGACACGGCCCAGACUCCUACGGGAGGCAGCAGUGGGGAAUCUUCCGCAAUGGACGAAAGUCUGACGGAGCAACGCCGCGUGAGUGAUGACGGCCUUCGGGUUGUAAAGCUCUGUUAAUCGGGACGCGGUACCGGAAUAGAAAGCCACGGCUAACUACGUGCCAGCAGCCGCGGUAAUAC